GAAAUGCGAUAAGUAAUGUGAAUUGCAGAAUUCAGUGAAUCAUCGAAUCUUUGAACGCACAUUGCGCCCGGCAGCAAUCUGCCGGGCAUGCCUGUCCGAGCGUCAUUUCUGCCCUCGAGCGCGGUUCGGCCCCUAGCGGGCCGGCCGCCGCCCGGUGUUGGGGCGCUGCGGGCCCUCGUGCCCGCAGGCCCUGAAAUGAAGUGGCGGUCCCGCCGCGGCGCCCCCUGCGUAGUAGUAAAGCACCUCGCAUCGGGUCCCGGCGGAGGCCAGCCGUCGAACCUCUCUUUUGAUGGUUUGACAUCGGAUCAGGUAGGGUUACCCGCUGAACUUAAGC
rnacentral:misc_RNA from 1 species